GCAAGCUAAUUGUCAUAAUGAGACUGACUCUGAAGAGGAUGAGGAAGUAGUUGGGGCAUUUUCACAUCGGUGCAACACACUAUCGCAUCGGGUUGUCGAAAAGGAUGAUGUCCCAUUGAAAGAGGCAAAGAUGGAAGAAGCGAAGGCUCGUAUUUGUAGGGCCAAAGGCUUAAUGUUCAUUGAUGUAAAAAUCAAUGGGAAGUUAAUCAGGGCUAUGGUGGAUACUGGUGCUACCCACAACUACCUUGCAUGUACCGAAGUAGAGCGGCUCGGACUGGUUCUAGAAAAGGGUAGUGGAAAAGUCAAAGCAAUCAACUCCGCUGCUCAACCAAUAGCUGGAAUGGCAAAAUCGGUGUUGAUCAAAGUAGAUCCCUUCGAGGGAAGGACAAAUUUAUCUGCAGUUCAGAUGGAUGAUUUCAAGCUUAUUCUAGGAUUGGAAUUUCUUCGGGAUACUAAGACAGCAGUGUUGCCAUAUUCCGAUUCGUUAAUGAUGAUGGGUAAUAAGCCGUGUGUCAUCCCUACACAGGUUGGGAGGAUAGGCGAGAAGAGUAUCUCAGCCAUGCAAUUUGGUAAAGGUUUCAAGAGAAAUGAACCCUCUUUUUUGUGUACUCUUCGAUUAGAGGAGGUCGAAGAGGCGAAUGGUCCUAUUCCAAAACCCGUUAAAAGGCUUAUUCGGGAAUUUGAGGACAUCAUGCCGGAAGAAUUACCAAAGAAAUUACCAC
rnacentral:lncRNA from 1 species